rnacentral:rRNA from 1 species
GCAAUGCACCAGGCCUCACAGGGCGAGACGGGCAUGAAAAUGCUGCAAUUCUCAGCAAAGCGGUGCGGACGCCCGCAAUGCUGGCUUACA